UACGUAGGGGGCUAGCGUUAUCCGGAAUUACUGGGCGUAAAGGGUGCGUAGGUGGUUUCUUAAGUCAGAGGUGAAAGGCUACGGCUCAACCGUAGUAAGCCUUUGAAACUGGGAAACUUGAGUGCAGGAGAGGAGAGUGGAAUUCCUAGUGUAGCGGUGAAAUGCGUAGAUAUUAGGAGGAACACCAGUUGCGAAGGCGGCUCUCUGGACUGUAACUGACACUGAGGCACGAAAGCGUGGGGAGCAAACAGGAUUAGAUACCAUGGUAGUCCCUGA
rnacentral:rRNA from 1 species